CAUUAACGAGUUAGGGUCUUCUAGGCCCGACCUCCCAACCCUAUGUUUAUUGAACCUCUGUUGCUUCGGCGGACCCGCCUCACGGCCGCCGGAGGACCGCCGCAAGGCGUCCUCUGGCCAGCGUCCGCCGAUGGCCAACCACUUAAACUCUGAAUGAAUCGUGUCAUAUGUCUAAGUCUAUGAUUAAAUUAAAGCAAAACUUUCAACAACGGAUCUCUUGGUUCUGGCAUCGAUGAAGAACGCAGCGAAAUGCGAUAAGUAAUGCGAAUUGCAGAAUUCCAGUGAGUCAUCGAAUCUUUGAACGCACAUUGCGCCCUUUGGUAUUCCGAAGGGCAUGCCUGUUCGAGCGUCAUUAUCACCCCUCAAGCCCCGUGCUUGGUGUUGGACGGCCGGUCGAGCGAUCGACCCCUCCUAAAGACAAUGACGGCGGCCUGUGGUUCCCCCGGUACACUGAGCUUUUAACUGAGCACGUAUCGGACAAGGGCACCCGGGACCCGGUCCUCUCCUUUAACUAGGAAACUUCUAAGGUUGACCUCGGAUCAGGUAGGAAUACGCGCUGAACUUAAGCAUAUCAAUAAGCGCAGGAAAAGAAACCAACAGGGAUUACCUCAGUAACGGCGAGUGAAGCGGUAAUAGCUCAAAUUUGAAAUCUGGCCUCUCGGGGUCCGAGUUGUAAUUUGUAGAGGAUGUUUUGGGUACCGCCCCGGUCUAAAUUUCUUGGAACAGAAUGUCAAAGAGGGUGAGAAUCCCGUCUUGGACCGGCGGUAGGGCCUGUGUAAAACUCCUUC
rnacentral:rRNA from 1 species